AUCCAGGUGACGAGUCCCAAACAGGACGAAAUGCGCAUCCUGGAU
rnacentral:hammerhead_ribozyme from 1 species